GAAGGGAGCGGAAGCAUUCAGGCCUGGUGGGAGCAGCCAGCUCCCCACAACACCUGCCGCUGUCCGGGAAGUCCUUCCACCGAAGCUCCCUCCCUGCCCAGAACCUCAGGGCUCCCGGGAGCCGGCACAGAGGGCCCCUCAGCUGGAGCAUUUUAAGGGCUGGCUCAAUGUGCAGAAGUGAACUACCUAUCCUUUCUACCUGGCAGGGCAACUGAGGGGUCAAGUAACAUAACGGGUUUCUUGGGAAGAAGGGUCCUUGGAACUGAAGAUGAUUUUGGGGAGUGAAAGAAACCACCUUUUCCUGGUAGCAGCAGAGCCAAAACUCCAGCCUUCAACCCACAGACCCGGGUCUGUCCCCAGGCAUUAGCACCCUCCUCGGGGCCCCGUUGUCAUCUGUGACUUUUGCCUCCUGCAUCUCAGUUUCCGUGCCUGUCAAGUGGAGAUAUGAUACCUCAUUCUGGGGAGAGACAAUGAAGUACUGCGGUGAAAAGUACACGUGCUGUACAAAAUUAGGAAAUCCUCGUUACCAGACUUAGAGAAACAUACAAAGUGGAGUUGACUCCCAGGAUGGAGACACAGCUUCUCAGAAUCCUGUUUCACCUGAGGCACAGAAGCUUUCCUUUGUUCACCGUUGCCAGCAGUUAUUGGACUGUGGCUGGGAUUACCUGUCAGAAUUCACAGAUCUCCCAAAUUCAGGAGUAAUUGAGCCCAGGAGGGCGAGGCUGCAGUGAACUGUGAUUGAGCCACUGCAGUCCAGCCUGCGUGACAGAGCAAGACCCUGUCUCAAAAAAA
rnacentral:lncRNA from 1 species